UUCCAUUCUCUUGCUUAACCUGUUGGUGAAUAUUUCCCUAAACAUGGGCUGUACAUGGGGGCAGCUGAGGUGCCAGCAGUUCUCCAGCCUCUGUGGUCUUGAAUUAUCUCAGAGCCCUUGGCUGAAAUAGUGCUUCAGGACCUGCACCAUGGUACCCUCACUAUCUCUGUUAGGGAGCUCAGCAGCCACAUCGCAAUGUUGCCUCUAGACUCCAGAUUAUUAACUCUGCAGAUGCCCACCAGGUCACAUUAAGUGCUCUGCUGAGGUUCAGACAGGAACCUUCAGUACUUACAGUGCCCUUCUGACCUGGACCAGAGCUCAUAUUUGCCAGGACACCCUCCAGCCAGCUAACCAGUAUUUAAGACAACUUCAGCCAGACACAGCACUCUAUAAAGCUCCUAAGCAGAAGUAAUAACAGAAGUGACUGUUAAAGAAACAGAGUAAACAAAGUUUUUCCUACCUUUCUGUUCUACCCCUUUAUCUUACUUUCACCUAAGUUUCUCUUUAGCUUUCUCUUCUUCUGGUGGGUUCCAUUCUUUCAGGCUGAGGCCCAUUACUCUUCUAACUCUGUCCUAGUAUCCUAUGAGCCAGGAAACUUCCCAACUUUUUCUUCCCCCCUCUAUCCUACACUACUUCUCUUUCAAAAAGUAGAAAAAACACAACCCUUCCCUUGAAGCCCCCUCCUCCCCAUCCUUUUAAAGGAUUGUUGUUCCCAGCCCAGGCAGCGAGUGGCUUUGAUUGCUGGUGACUGGGAUCAGCUGAGGAAGGGAGGGAUCCGUGAUUCAUCACAGAUAAAGCUAAGUGCAGAUACCAGCCAUUUUUCUUCUAUGCCAAAAGCUUUCUGUGCUGGGGGCAGCUGCUAGUAGGCUGCCUGUGCAUACAGGGAUGCUUUCUAAGAUCAAGGCCUGCUCUGCCAUGCUGUGCUCCCGUAGUACAUCCCAGCCCCUUGGGUGCCAUACGCAGCCACAUCGCCGACAUCCCCCUGCAGAUGGCCUCCCUGGCUCAGCCACGUACCUGCUUAGCUUCAAAUCAGAGGGAUCCACGAGCCUUUAUUUUUAUUCUACUUAUGCCAGGACACAUUUUUGCAGGGGCUGAGUUUCCAUCUGCAUUCCCCAAGAGCGGGCCGGGCCUGGUUUCUCAGGAAGGAAGAGCUGCGGGGUGUUGUCUGCGCUGAGGCAAACCUGGCGACCCGCGAGGGGCUGGCUGACUGGAAGGGCUUGGCUCGGAUGCGCCUGGCUUGCCCAGGAGAAAGAUAAUAAACAGAAUGAGGAGAGCA
rnacentral:lncRNA from 1 species